rnacentral:lncRNA from 1 species
AGGAAAAGUACCUUACAGUUCUUUCUUCAUCUCCCCAAACUGAGAGAAAAGGAGAGAGGGAGACAUCCAGAGAGGCUGAGGUUGCCAGCAAAAAGAAGAGGGGAUAUUUUACCCCCCUGUGGAUGCNNNNNNNNNNNNNNNNNNNNNNNNNNNNNNNNNNNNNNNNNNNNNNNNNNNCCGAGUGUGGCUGCCAGAGGGGAGAGAAUUCUUGGGAAAUACACAAAGACCUUGAGGCUGUAUACAUUUCCUGAGCAGAGAAUCCUGAAGAUGAGAAGCUGGGCAGAGCUCCACAUUCAGGCAGCAAGACUGGGAGCAAGGAGAAGGCUGAGCUGCAAAUUGGCUGGAUCAUCAGAUUCAGUGCCUCUGAGAAGCCCGUCACACAGAUCUUGUCUUAACAGUGGACGCAGAGUUGUUCAAAGUUUUCAGUCAAGCAGACGUAUACAAAACUCGCCAUUUGAGAAGAUAACAUGAGCCCAACCUACCCUUCUCCUACAGCCCCGUCAUUGCUUUCUCAGUUUCACAGGCUGAGAGAACACCAGCAUCUCUCCACGUUAAACUUAGACUCCAAUUCUGAUCUCUGAACACAGAAUCCUCUGAAAUCCAAUCUGAAAAACACAGAACAUUUUAAAAGGUAUUCUUACCUCUAAUUUUGUCUGUAAAAUUAGAAUAUUUUGUUCUAAUGUACAUUUUUGGUUGUAGGUCAAAACCACUUUUUAAUGUCUCCUAUAAGAUCUAGGUCCUUAUCUAAUGCUUCUUCCAUGAAACUAGACAAUCUAGAUGUAAUUUUGACUUGUGAUUCGGUUAAUGCACCUAUGGUGAACCAUGUUUCGUCGCCCAUUAUAAUUUCAUAUUUGUACUUAUAUAAAUGCCCAUAACUAAGCAUUUUUUCAUUUUAAAAAUAUGUAAAGCUAUUUUAACGAGCACAUGCUCUCUACACCUCUUCCUCUAACCUUUCUGACAAUGUUAAAAUUUCCUAACUUGGUAGAUUUACGAAUUAAAAAAAUAAUCAGUGGGAAAGCAUGUCCUCCAUUAACCUAGGACAAAAUGUUUCAUCCAUUAAAAACAAGAACCAAAAAACCUGACCAUACUAUUCCAUGGAAAUAUUUCUGAAGGGUCAAAUACAGCCAUAUAGAGUGGAUAGAGAAAAUGGGGAUGUGAUUUUAAAAAUACAUGAAAAUAUACACUCAUGUGCAAACAAGCA